rnacentral:rRNA from 1 species
AUUGAACGCUGGCGGCAUGCUUUACACAUGCAAGUCGAACGGCAGCGCGGGCUUCGGCCUGGCGGCGAGUGGCGAACGGGUGAGUAAUGCAUCGGAACGUGCCCAGUAUUUGGGGAUAGCCCGGCGAAAGCCGGAUUAAUACCGCAUACGACCUGAGGGUGAAAGCGGGGGACCGAAAGGCCUCGCGCUAUUGGAGCUGCCGUUGUCGGAUUAGCUAGUUGGUGGGGUAAAGGCUUACCAAGGCGACGAUCCGUAGCUGGUCUGAGAGGACGACCAGCCACACUGGGACUGAGACACGGCCCAGACUCCUACGGGAGGCAGCAGUGGGGAAUUUUGGACAAUGGGGGCAACCCUGAUCCAGCCAUGCCGCGUGCGGGAAGAAGGCCUUCGGGUUGUAAACCGCUUUUGUUCGGGAAGAAAUACUCUGGGCUAAUACCCCGGGGGGAUGACGGUACCGGAAGAAUAAGCACCGGCUAACUACGUG